rnacentral:rRNA from 1 species
GGGUUGUGAGGUUAAGCGACUAAGCGUACACGGUGGAUGCCCUGGCAGUCAGAGGCGAUGAAGGACGUGCUAAUCUGCGAAAAGCGUCGGUAAGGUGAUAUGAACCGUUAUAACCGGCGAUGUCCGAAUGGGGAAACCCAGUGCAAUUCGUUGCACUAUCGUUAACUGAAUACAUAGGUUAACGAGGCGAACCGGGGGAACUGAAACAUCUAAGUACCCCGAGGAAAAGAAAUCAACCGAGAUUCCCCCAGUAGCGGCGAGCGAACGGGGAGCAGCCCAGAGUCUGAAUCAGCUUGUGUGUUAGUGGAACGGUCUGGAAAGUCCGACGGUACAGGGUGAUAGUCCCGUACACCAAAAUGCACAGGNNCAUCCUCCAAGGCUAAAUACUCCUGACUGACCGAUAGUGAACCAGUACCGUGAGGGAAAGGCGAAAAGAACCCCGGCGAGGGGAGUGAAAAAGAACCUGAAACCGUGUACGUACAAGCAGUGGGAGCACCUUCGGGUGUGACUGCGUACCUUUUGUAUAAUGGGUCAGCGACUUAUAUUCUGUAGCAAGGUUAACCGUAUAGGGGAGCCGCAGGGAAACCGAGUCUUAACUGGGCGUUAAGUUGCAGGGUAUAGACCCGAAACCCGGUGAUCUAGCCAUGGGCAGGUUGAAGGUUGGGUAACACUAACUGGAGGACCGAACCGACUAAUGUUGAAAAAUUAGCGGAUGACUUGUGGCUGGGGGUGAAAGGCCAAUCAAACCGGGAGAUAGCUGGUUCUCCCCGAAAGCUAUUUAGGUAGCGCCUCGUGAACUCAUCUUCGGGGGUAGAGCACUGUUUCGGCUAGGGGGUCAUCCCGACUUACCAACCCGAUGCAAACUACGAAUACCGAAGAAUGUUAUCACGGGAGACACACGGCGGGUGCUAACGUCCGUCGUGAAGAGGGAAACAACCCAGACCGCCAGCUAAGGUCCCAAAGUCAUGGUUAAGUGGGAAACGAUGUGGGAAGGCACAGACAGCCAGGAUGUUGGCUUAGAAGCAGCCAUCAUUUAAAGAAAGCGUAAUAGCUCACUGGUCGAGUCGGCCUGCGCGGAAGAUGUAACGGGGCUAAACCAUGCACCGAAGCUGCGGCAGCGACACUAUGUGUUGUUGGGUAGGGGAGCGUUCUGUAAGCCUGCGAAGGUGUGCUGUGAGGCAUGCUGGAGGUAUCAGAAGUGCGAAUGCUGACAUAAGUAACGAUAAAGCGGGUGAAAAGCCCGCUCGCCGGAAGACCAAGGGUUCCUGUCCAACGUUAAUCGGGGCAGGGUGAGUCGACCCCUAAGGCGAGGCCGAAAGGCGUAGUCGAUGGGAAACAGGUUAAUAUUCCUGUACUUGGUGUUACUGCGAAGGGGGGACGGAGAAGGCUAUGUUAGCCGGGCGACGGUUGUCCCGGUUUAAGCAUGUAGGCUGGUUAUCCAGGCAAAUCCGGAUAAUCAAGGCUGAGGUGUGAUGACGAGGCACUACGGUGCUGAAGUAACAAAUGCCCUGCUUCCAGGAAAAGCCUCUAAGCAUCAGGUAACAUCAAAUCGUACCCCAAACCGACACAGGUGGUCAGGUAGAGAAUACCAAGGCGCUUGAGAGAACUCGGGUGAAGGAACUAGGCAAAAUGGUGCCGUAACUUCGGGAGAAGGCACGCUGGUGUGUAGGUGAAGUCCCUGCGGAUGGAGCUGAGACCAGUCGAAGAUACCAGCUGGCUGCAACUGUUUAUUAAAAACACAGCACUGUGCAAACACGAAAGUGGACGUAUACGGUGUGACGCCUGCCCGGUGCCGGAAGGUUAAUUGAUGGGGUUAUCCGUAAGGAGAAGCUCUUGAUCGAAGCCCCGGUAAACGGCGGCCGUAACUAUAACGGUCCUAAGGUAGCGAAAUUCCUUGUCGGGUAAGUUCCGACCUGCACGAAUGGCGUAAUGAUGGCCAGGCUGUCUCCACCCGAGACUCAGUGAAAUUGAACUCGCUGUGAAGAUGCAGUGUACCCGCGGCAAGACGGAAAGACCCCGUGAACCUUUACUAUAGCUUGACACUGAACAUUGAGCCUUGAUGUGUAGGAUAGGUGGGAGGCUUUGAAGCGUGGACGCCAGUCUGCGUGGAGCCAACCUUGAAAUACCACCCUUUAAUGUUUGAUGUUCUAACGUUGGCCCCUGACCGGGGUUGCGGACAGUGUCUGGUGGGUAGUUUGACUGGGGCGGUCUCCUCCCAAAGCGUAACGGAGGAGCACGAAGGUUAGCUAAUCCUGGUCGGACAUCAGGAGGUUAGUGCAAUGGCAUAAGCUAGCUUGACUGCGAGCGUGACGGCGCGAGCAGGUGCGAAAGCAGGUCAUAGUGAUCCGGUGGUUCUGAAUGGAAGGGCCAUCGCUCAACGGAUAAAAGGUACUCCGGGGAUAACAGGCUGAUACCGCCCAAGAGUUCAUAUCGACGGCGGUGUUUGGCACCUCGAUGUCGGCUCAUCACAUCCUGGGGCUGAAGUAGGUCCCAAGGGUAUGGCUGUUCGCCAUUUAAAGUGGUACGCGAGCUGGGUUUAGAACGUCGUGAGACAGUUCGGUCCCUAUCUGCCGUGGGCGCUGGAGAAUUGAGGGGGGCUGCUCCUAGUACGAGAGGACCGGAGUGGACGCAUCACUGGUGUUCGGGUUGUCAUGCCAAUGGCACUGCCCGGUAGCUAAAUGCGGAAGAGAUAAGUGCUGAAAGCAUCUAAGCACGAAACUUGCCCCGAGAUGAGUUCUCCCUGAGACUUUAAGUCUCCUGAAGGAACGUUGAAGACGACGACGUUGAUAGGCCGGGUGUGUAAGCGCAGCGAUGCGUUGAGCUAACCGGUACUAAUGAACCGUGAGGCUUAACCUUACAACGCCGAAG